AUAGUUACUUGGCUAGGGGAGAUACCAUAUCACCAAGGUGGUUUUCCCAGGGCAAGUCUUGUCCAUUGCACUCAGAUAACCUGAUCCCUGAGAUUUCUCCAAAUGCAGGAAAUUCAACUGCAUGAUUUGUGGCAGUGGGGGACUGCAUUCCUGCUCUCCCUGA